GACAGUCUUAAAACCUGCCCCCCAAAAAAACAAUUUUAAAUUUUAGUUGUGGCAAUUUUCUGCAAACCAAAAUGAAAUACAUCCGUUUAAUGUAACAACUCAUUUUUUAAAAUGCUUGUUUUUUUCACAGUGAAGGGUGUGCAUAUGUGUGUGGCUUUCCAUUGCAGUGCAGUUUUAAUGCUGUGUCUGCCUUUAAAAUAGCAAGGGAAAACUUAAGUGACAAAGGAAAUUCAUAGUUUUUAAGUUGUGUGAUGUCUGUGGAUUGUGAUUAUAUAAGGUGAAAAAUACCACUUACAAAUUAAGCAGAGUAUUUUUAAAGCUUUGAUUUGAAUUUUUGCUUCAACUUGGUAUUAACUGAAAUAGAAAAGAAGGAAGAAAAUCUAUUAAAACCAAUAAGGUUUUGUAUUUGUUAAAAUACUUAAGAGUUCAAUAAACAUGCACUGGAUUGUA
rnacentral:lncRNA from 1 species